rnacentral:rRNA from 1 species
GAUGAACGCUAGCUACAGGCUUAACACAUGCAAGUCGAGGGGUAACGAGAGGAAAGCUUGCUUUCCUUGUCGACGACCGGCGCACGGGUGAGUAACGCGUAUCCAACCUGCCCCCAACUAGGGAAUAACCUUGCGAAAGUAAGACUAAUACCCUAUAAUCUCCUCAGAUGUCAUCUGACGAGGAAUAAAGAUUUAUCGGUUGUGGAUGGGGAUGCGUCUGAUUAGCUUGUUGGCGGGGUAACGGCCCACCAAGGCAACGAUCAGUAGGGGUUUUGAGAGGAAGGUCCCCCACAUUGGAACUGAGACACGGUCCAAACUCCUACGGGAGGCAGCAGUGAGGAAUAUUGGUCAAUGGGCGGAAGCCUGAACCAGCCAAGUAGCGUGCAGGAUGACGGCCCUAUGGGUUGUAAACUGCUUUUAUACAGGAAUAAAGUUAGCCACGUGUGGUUAUUUGUAGGUACUGUAUGAAUAAGGACCGGCUAAUUCCGUGCCAGCAGCCGCCGUAA